rnacentral:rRNA from 1 species
UACGUAGGGAGCAAGCGUUGUUCGGAUUUACUGGGCGUAAAGGGCUCGUAGGUGGCCAACUAAGUCAGACGUGAAAUCCCUCGGCUUAACCGGGGAACUGCGUCUGAUACUGGAUGGCUUGAGUUUGGGAGAGGGAUGCGGAAUUCCAGGUGUAGCGGUGAAAUGCGUAGAUAUCUGGAGGAACACCGGUGGCGAAGGCGGCAUCCUGGACCAACACUGACACUGAGGAGCGAAAGCCAGGGGAGCAAACGGG